UACGGAGGGGGCUAGCGUUGUUCGGAAUUACUGGGCGUAAAGCGCGCGUAGGCGGACCGGCAAGUCGGGGGUGAAAGCCCGAGGCUCAACCUCGGAACUGCCUUCGAUACUGCGGGUCUCGAGUCCGGGAGAGGUGAGUGGAAUUCCUAGUGUAGAGGUGAAAUUCGUAGAUAUUAGGAAGAACACCAGUGGCGAAGGCGGCUCACUGGCUCGGUACUGACGCUGAGGCGCGAAAGCGUGGGGAGCAAACAGG
rnacentral:rRNA from 1 species